rnacentral:rRNA from 1 species
UGGGGAAUUUUGGACAAUGGGCGAAAGCCUGAUCCAGCAAUGCCGCGUGUGUGAAGAAGGCCUUCGGGUUGUAAAGCACUUUUGUCCGGAAAGAAAUCCUUGGCUCUAAUACAGUCGGGGGAUGACGGUACCGGAAGAAUAAGCACCGGCUAACUACGUGCCAGCAGCCGCGGUAAUACGUAGGGUGCAAGCGUUAAUCGGAAUUACUGGGCGUAAAGCGUGCGCAGGCGGUUUGCUAAGACCGAUGUGAAAUCCCCGGGCUCAACCUGGGAACUGCAUUGGUGACUGGCAGGCUAGAGUAUGGCAGAGGGGGGUAGAAUUCCACGUGUAGCAGUGAAAUGCGUAGAGAUGUGGAGGAAUACCGAUGGCGAAGGCAGCCCCCUGGGCCAAUACUGACGCUCAUGCACGAAAGCGUGGGGAGCAAACAGGAUUAGAUACCCCUGGUAGUCCACGCCCUAAAACGAUGUCAACUAGUUGUUGGGGAUUCAUUUCCUUAGUAACGUAGCUAACACGUGAAGUUGACCGCCUGGGGGAGUACGGUCGCAAGAUUAAAACUCAAAUGAAUUGACGGGGUCAUAGCUGUUUCCU